rnacentral:pre_miRNA from 1 species
CUGAAGCGGCUCUCUGACUUUCCCCGCGACCGAGCCAGGGGUGCCAGGGCUCGCUUCGUGAGAGCGGACUGCUACCCCAGAU